rnacentral:pre_miRNA from 1 species
UCAUAUGGAUGAGCAAAGAAAGUGGUUUCUUGAGAUGGAAUCUUCUCCUGGUGAAGAUGUUGUAAA